rnacentral:lncRNA from 1 species
AGGUUUACAAUCUUGGGAAGAAGAGAGACAUGAGAAUAUACUUUGAGCAGUGGUAUCUUCAAAUGGAUUAAAUCAAUGGAUAUAAAGAAGCAUAGGAAGAGACACAGCACCUUCUUUUGGGUCUGCAGAAUUAUCCAUUUAUAUUUACCUUUUUCGGCAUAGCUAAGUCCUUCAGUAGCUUAACUGCUUAUGGCUUAUGUGUUAUGGUUCUGUAUCAUUGCCCUACAUAUUAAACUACUAUCACAUAAGACUUUCACUUCUGCUCAUUCGCAAUGAAUCUCUGCAUUGUAAUUGUAUUGCCUGUCCCUGUAAUCUCUCAAAACUCAAUCUCCUGGUGCUUUAAACAUUUGAGUUCCUUUAAACUCAGACUACCUGCUGUCAGUGCCUAUUUCCUAAUCUUAAAAACAGCAUCUGAGGUCUAACCUCGCCAGAGCUUAGAUGCCAAAUAAUCACCUUUAUGACAGUACAAAUGCCACUGCACAUUUUGAUGGCGCUCUCACUGUGUCAGGACAAAUCCAAUUUCUCAUCUGCUCCCACUGGAAGCCUCCUUCUUCCUUAUUGAUUCAUAACUUAUAUUUGCUAUUAUGAAGCCUCCCUUCUAUAUAUCAUUAUAUGUAUUUUCUCAAGGUAAAUCAGUAUGCAUGGUUUGCAUCCAUCCCCAAU